rnacentral:rRNA from 1 species
AAGCGGUGGAUGAUGUGGUUUAAUUCGAUGCAACGCGAAAACCUUACCCACCUUUGACAUGUACGGAAUCCUUUAGAGAUAGAGGAGUGCUCGAAAGAGAGCCGUAACACAGGUGCUGCAUGGCUGUCGUCAGCUCGUGUCGUGAGAUGUUGGGUUAAGUCCCGCAACGAGCGCAACCCUUGUCAUUAGUUGCUACAUUCAGUUGGGCACUCUAAUGAGACUGCCGGUGACAAACCGGAGGAAGGUGGGGAUGACGUCAAAUCAUCAUGCCCCUUAUGACCUGGGCUACACACGUGCUACAAUGGUUGGUACAACGAGUUGCGAGUCGGUGACGGCGAGCUAAUCUCUUAAAGCCAAUCUCAGUUCGGAUUGUAGGCUGCAACUCGCCUACAUGAAGUCGGAAUCGCUAGUAAUCGCGGAUCAGCACGCCGCGGUGAAUACGUUCCCGGGCCUU